rnacentral:rRNA from 1 species
UGGGGAAUAUUGGACAAUGGGGGAAACCCUGAUCCAGCCAUGCCGCGUGGGUGAAGAAGGCCCUAGGGUUGUAAAGCCCUUUCAACGGUGAAGAUGAUGACGGUAGCCGUAGAAGAAGCCCCGGCUAACUCCGUGCCAGCAGCCGCGGUAAUACGGAGGGGGCAAGCGUUGUUCGGAAUUACUGGGCGUAAAGGGCGCGUAGGCGGCCGGCCGCGUCAGAUGUGAAAGCCCCGGGCUCAACCUGGGAACUGCAUUUGAAACGGGCUGGCUAGGAUCCGAGAGAGGAGUGUGGAAUUCCCAGUGUAGAGGUGAAAUUCGUAGAUAUUGGGAAGAACACCAGUGGCGAAGGCGGCACUCUGGCUCGGUAUCGACGCUGAGGCGCGAAAGCGUGGGGAGCAAACAGGAUUAGAUACCCCCGUAGUCC